UCCACCACCCGAACCAAAUCUUCCUUCGCUGAUGGCGCCACUCCUCUCUCAUGCGAUCCCCAAAACCUUCGCACCGCCGAUUCCCCGCGCUCGCCACCGCCUCGCGCCCAGACCGCCCUCUGCCGCGUCCUUCCUCCGCGGACUUUUCUCCGCCCGCCCGCCGCCUGCGAAGGCCGACCUCCUCCGCCUCAUUGCGGACCAGGACCGCGGCCUCGAGACCCAGUCCGACCCCUCCCGCCUCGCCGACAUCGUCGCCUGCAUCGACGCGCUCGCCGCUGUGUCCCCCGGCGCGGACACCGUCUCCGACGCCGAAAAGCUCUCCGGAACCUGGCGCCUCCUCUGGACCACCGAGCAGGAGCAGCUAUUCAUCGUGCGGAACGCCCCCUUCUUCCGCACUGCCGCCGGCGACGUGCUCCAAGUCAUCGAUGUCCCCGGCGGCGCGCUCAACAACGUCAUCACCUUUCCGCCCUCGGGGGCGUUUGUCGUCAAUGGCGACAUCGAGGUCCAGCCGCCCCAGCGAGUCAAUUUUAGGUUCACACGCGCUGUGCUGAGAGGAAGCAGCUGGGAGGUACCUUUUCCACCGUUUGGGAAAGGAUGGUUUGACACUGUCUAUUUGGAUGAUGACAUACGGGUUGCCAAGGACAUAAGAGGGGACUAUUUAGUCGUUGAGCGCGCUCCAUAUUCUUGGAAUGGAUAGUUGGUUCAGAGCUGACCAAAAGGACAUUUGGAGAACCUUAUGUUUUCCCAGCAUAGACUCCACGUUUUACUGUGCCAUUUCCUUUCCUGUACACUGUUUUGUUGUACGGAUACUAUGUGGUUCCAAGUCGCAGUCGCACAGCAUUGGAAGGGUUUCGGAGGACAGGUUGGACCAUGACUCCCCGGACCAGGAUAUAUAGUGUUGCAGCAUAUUCUGUACUGUUAGUGUUCGGUAUUGUGCAGAAGGGUAACAUGCUUAUUCGCUGGCUCAUCAGUUGCUUGAUGUCCAUCACGGCAUUUGUUUUGAGCUGGCCUAUCAAGCAUGGCAGUCUGGAGUCAUUUUGAAGAUCAUAAGACAAUGGCUUCUGUUCUGAAAUUGGACCUCUCCAUAGCCCUGCCAAAGUGCUAGUGUUGGAUGAUCAACAACUCUGGUGUUCCAUGGAUAUUGAUACACCUUUUAUA